AUUGAACGCUGGCGGCAUGCCUUACACAUGCAAGUCGAACGGUAACAGGUCUUCGGAUGCUGACGAGUGGCGCACGGGUGAGUAAUACAUCGGAACGUGUCCGAGCGUGGGGGGUAACGCGUCGAAAGCUGUGCUCAUAUCGCAUACGAUCUACGGAGGAAAGCGGGGGAGCUUCGGACCUCGCGCGGUCGGAGCUGCCACUGGCUGUUUAGGGAGUGGGUGGGGUAAAAGCUUACCAAGCCGCCGUUCUGUAGCUGGUGUGAGAGAGUGAGCACCCACACUGAGACUGGGACACGGCCCGACCUCCAAGGGGAGGCAGCAGUGGGAAAUUUUGGCCAAUGGGCGAAGGCCUGAUCAAGCCAUGCCGGGGGGAGGAUGAAGGCCUUCGGGUUGUAAACUGCUUUUGUAGGGAGCGAGAAGACUAUGUCUAAAAAAGAGGGGUCAUGACGGUACAGCAAGAAUAAGCACCGGCUAACUACGG
rnacentral:rRNA from 1 species